rnacentral:rRNA from 1 species
GACGAACGCUGGCGGCGUGCUUAACACAUGCAAGUCGAACGGAAAGGCCCUGCUUGUGUGGGGUGCUCGAGUGGCGAACGGGUGAGUAACACGUGAGUAACCUGCCCUUGACUUUGGGAUAACUUCAGGAAACUGGGGCUAAUACCGGAUAGGAGCACCUGCUGCAUGGUGGGGGUUGGAAAGUUUCGGCGGAUGGGGAUGUACUGGGGGCUAAUCAGCGUGUGGGUGGGGUAUAGGCUUACCAAGGCCUUGACGGGUAGCCGGCCUGAGAGGGUGACCGGCCACCUUGGGACUGAGAGACGGCCCAGACUCGUACGGGAGGCAACAGUGGGGAAUAUUGCACAAUGGGCGGACGCCUGAUGUAGCAACGUCGCGUGCGGGAUGACGGCCUUCAGGUUAUAAACAGCUUUCGCCUGUGACGGAGCGUGAGUGACGGUAAUGGAUAAAGAAGCACCGGCUAACUACGUG